rnacentral:lncRNA from 1 species
UUAGAUUUUAAAUUCAUAAGAGUUCUAUAGGUGAUAUGAUCCGAUUAACACUCACAAUUAUGCCCAGAUCCCAAACUAGGGCAGACAAAAUAUCUUUUUUUUUGUCUGUUUUGUUGCAGUAUCAGGCGCCCACCUGGAUAACGAGGGAAUACAUUUCAAGUUUUAGAAAUCAGGCGCCCACCUGGAUAACGAGGGAAUACGUUUCAAGUUUUAGCAAUCAGGCGCUCACCUGGAUAACGAGGGAAUAUAUUUCAGGUUUUAGCAAUCAGGCGCCCACCUGGAUAACGAGGGAAUACAUUUUAUGAUUUAGCAAUUAGGCGUCCACCCGGAUAACGAGGGAAUACAAUACAAGUUUUAGCAAUCAUGCGCCCACCUCGAUAACGAGGGAAUAUAUUUCAUGUUUUAGCAAUCAGGUGUCCACCUGGAUAACGAGGGAAUACAAUUCAAGAAGCAUCAGGAUCCCUCCUGAAGAACAAGGUCCAGUUUUCAGUCUAAUGUUGAUGAUCAAGUAGAGAUUCAAGGAGGGUUCAAGGCAAGAAGUAGAUAG